GACGAACGCUGGCGGCGCGCCUAACACAUGCAAGUCGAACGGAGCUGAGAGAAGCUUGCUUUUCUUAGCUUAGUGGCGAACGGGUGAGUAACGCGUGAGUAACCUGCCCUGGAGUGGGGGACAACAGUUGGAAACGACUGCUAAUACCGCAUAAGCCCACGAUCCGGCAUCGGAUUGAGGGAAAAGGAUUUAUUCGCUUCAGGAUGGACUCGCGUCCAAUUAGCUAGUUGGUGAGGUAACGGCCCACCAAGGCGACGAUUGGUAGCCGGACUGAGAGGUGGAACGGCCACAUUGGGACUGAGACACGGCCCAGACUCCUACGGGAGGCAGCAGUGGGGGAUAUUGCACAAUGGGGGAAACCCUGAUGCAGCGACGCCGCGUGGAGGAAGAAGGUUUUCGGAUUGUAAACUCCUGUCGUUAGGGACGAUAAUGACGGUACCUAACAAGAAAGCACCGGCUAACUACGU
rnacentral:rRNA from 1 species